AUGGUCUUCAAACUAGACUUCAGAAAAGCUUUUGACUCGGUUGCGUGGCCUGCCCUCGACAAAAUCCUUCUCGUCCGCGGCUUCUCGCCCACCUUCCGCGGCUGGAUCCAAAACAUCCUUGCCACAGGCAAAACCACCAUUCUUCUGAAUGGUAUCCCAGGCAACUGGAUUGACUGCAAAAAUGGCCUGCGUCAGGGCGAUCCCAUCUCCCCC
rnacentral:rRNA from 1 species